rnacentral:lncRNA from 1 species
AGGAGAGUAGGCGGCAUUGCAACAAUAUAGAAAAUAUAAGGUUGAUAUUAUAGCAAUUGAACAUAUAGGUUUAUAUUUGCAAAUUCAUACAAAAUGUCGGGGUAUUUUUUUAGCCUAAAUUUUGGAAUACUAACAUAAUCUCAACUCUUUGCAAAGUGAAGAAUCAUGUUAAGGCAUGUCAUCCAAAAGAAAUGUUUUAGAUUGAUAAAUUCUACCUUUACUUGUUAACUUUGCAUAUAAAUUUGAAACUAAAAAUGAAUCUUGCCCUUGUAGUUUACAAAAUUAACUAUGAAAUCUUUUGGAUGGUCAUAUCAUUGUUUGUGUUGCUCCUAUGAUCUAGUGCCACAUUUGCAUCAUCAACACUAAUCCUAGUUAAUUGAUAAAAAAUACUAAUUAUUAUGUAGAAGUAAUACUUACAUAUAUGACGGGUAAAAUGAAUUUUAGAAAUAUCCAUGAAUCAUUAAUUUUUGUACGCAAAAAACUGCCUUCUUCGGAUGGAUCAAUAUGUAUAUGAGUGUGUGUAAUGUAUGUUUAUAUGUAUGUACAUGUAUAUGUAUUUAUGUAUGUUUCAAGAUUUUUUUUUGUUCAGUGUUUGCCCUAUAAUCCUCCAUCCUUUGCCUCUGCUGCUAAGCCCCAACUCAAUGCCUCUAUGAUUGGGCAAGGAGCCCAAUUGUCAAUGAGUAAGUCGAGGCUCAAACCAAUGCUAGAACCCCUUUCAAUGCCCUAUUUUUGGGCUAGAGUCUAUUUUCUUGAUUCUGCUUGUUUCUGCCAUCAUUUGUUGCUCUCAUUGUCACUUGACCACUGUCCUCCAUC